CCUACGGGAGGCAGCAGUGGGGAAUAUUGCACAAUGGGGGGAACCCUGAUGCAGCAACGCCGCGUGGGUGAAGAAGUAUUUCGGUAUGUAAAGCCCUGUCAGCCGUGACGAAGGAGACGGUACCUUCCCAAGAAGCCCCGGCUAACUUCGUGCCAGCAGCCGCGGUAAUACGUAGGGGGCAAGCGUUAUCCGGAUUUACUGGGGGUAAAGGGAGCGUAGGCGGCACUGCAAGACUGGGGUGAAAGCCCGGGGCCCAACCACGGGACUGCUCUUGUUACUGCGGGGCUGGAGUGCAGGAGGGGAAAGCGGAAUUCCUAGUGUAGAGGUGAAAGGCGUAGAUAUUAGGAGGAACACCGGUGGCGAAGGCGGCUUACUGGACUGUAACUGACGUUGAGGCUCGAAGGCGUGGGGAGCAAACAGGAUUAGAUACCCUGGUAGUC
rnacentral:rRNA from 1 species